AAUAUGAUGCUUUGGGGUGG
rnacentral:piRNA from 1 species